GCAACGCGAAGAACCUCACCUGGUCUUGACAUCCCGGAGACCCUUAGGAACUAGGGGGUGGCUUCCAUCUGGAAGAAUCUGGAGACAGGUGCUGCAUGGCUGUCGUCAGCUCGUGUCGUGAGAUGUUGGGUUAAGUCCCGCAACGAGCGCAACCCUUGCCUCUAGUUGCCAGCAGUUCGGCUGGGCACUCUAAAGGGACUGCCGGUGUUAAACCGGAGGAAGUGGGGAUGACGUCAAGUCCUCAUGGCCUUUAUGACCAGGGCUACACACGUACUACAAUGGCCGAUACAAAGGGCAGCGACACUGCGAGGUGAAGCCAAUCCCGUAAAAUCGGUCUCAGUCCGGAUUGGAGUCUGCAACUCGACUCCAUGAAGUUGGAAUCGCUAGUAAUCGUGGAUCAGCAUGCCACGGUGAAUACGUUCCCGGGCCUU
rnacentral:rRNA from 1 species